AAAUAGGAGGCAUAAGCAAGACGGUUAAAACUAUCCUGUGAGAGCAGCGUUGAGAGCACUAUGAACAUCAACUCCAAUUUGGGCUUCAGCUUUCUCAAGGUCAGUUGAGGCUGAGCUCAGUUUCUGGGUGAACUCUGCAAGUCCCUUCUGCACUAAGCUGGCAUCAAUUUGAUCAAGGGGCACUGCCUCAACUGCAAUUAUAUCAGCAAAAGAAUUUGCAUGGAUAAAUGCAAAGCCACUGCUAACAAAAUACUUUGUUACUUCGUUUCCUUCAUGC
rnacentral:lncRNA from 1 species